UCGGGAAUCUUGCACAAUGGGCGAAAGCCUGAUGCAGCAUCGCCGUGUGAGCGAGGAAGGUCUUCGGAUCGUAAAGCUCUGUUGUUGGGGACGAAGGGCGAAGGGUUAAUAGCCCCUAGCCUGACGGUACCCUUCGAGGAAGCCCCGGCUAACUACGUGCCAGCAGCCGCGGUAAUACGUAGGGGGCGAGCGUUGUCCGGAAUUAUUGGGCGUAAAGAGCGUGUAGGCGGUUCAGCAAGUCGGCUGUGAAAGUCCGAGGCUCAACCUCGGAAUUGCAGUCGAUACUGCUGUGACUCGAGUCCGGUAGAGGAGAAUGGAAUUCCCGGUGUAGCGGUGAAAUGCGCAGAUAUCGGGAGGAACACCAGUAGCGAAGGCGGUUCUCUGGGCCGGCACUGACGCUGAGGAGCGAAAGCGUGGGGAGCAAACAGGAUUAGAUACCCGCGUAGUCC
rnacentral:rRNA from 1 species